CCUACGGGGUGCAGCAGUGGGGAAUAUUGGACAAUGGGCGAAAGCCUGAUCCAGCCAUGCCGCGUGUGUGAAGAAGGCCUUCGGGUUGUAAAGCACUUUCAGUGGGGAAGAAAGCCUUGGGGCUAAUACCCUCGAGGAAGGACAUCACCCACAGAAGAAGCACCGGCUAACUCCGUGCCAGCAGCCGCGGUAAUACGGAGGGUGCGAGCGUUAAUCGGAAUUACUGGGCGUAAAGCGCGCGUAGGCGGUCUGAUAAGCCGGUUGUGAAAGCCCCGGGCUCAACCUGGGAACGGCAUCCGGAACUGUCAGGCUAGAGUGCAGGAGAGGAAGGUAGAAUUCCCGGUAUAGCGGUGAAAUGCGUAGAGAUCGGGAGGAAUACCAGUGGCGAAGGCGGCCUUCUGGACUGACACUGACGCUGAGGUGCGAAAGCGUGGGUAGCAAACAGGAUUAGAUACCCUGGUAUC
rnacentral:rRNA from 1 species